rnacentral:lncRNA from 1 species
UAUUUUAAUAAUCAUAAUAACUAAUUAUGGCAUCUUAUGAUAUCUCUAAGAUAUGGAAGCAGAAUCAUACAAUAUGAUUAUAACUAAACAUCUCAAGCAUAUCAUAUAUGCAUGAAGUUCUAAUAUCAUGCAUGGAUGUAAAACACUCUUUUCACAGUUCUUCUUGGAACAUCAUAGUGGCACCCCUACACGCCAUAAGAGUCCCCUAUUGAAUAGGAAGAGAGGGUCUCUAAACCCUACUUGCUCUUAU